GGCUCUAUGGUGUAAUGGUAGCAUCCUGGGCUCAUGUCCCAGCAGAGGAGGUUCGAUUCCUUCUAGAACCA